UCAAGAUAAUAAGGGCGUAUGGUGGAUGCCUAGGCGCUAGAAGGCGAAGAAGGACGCGGCCAGCGGCGAAAUGCCACGGGGAGCUGCAAGCGAGCAUAGAUCCGUGGAUAUCCGAAUGGGGAAACCCAAUAGAGGCGAACCUCUAUUAUCCCUGCCUGAAUAUAUAGGGCAGGAGAAGCGAGACCCGGGGAACUGAAACAUCUUAGUACCCGGAGGAAAAGAAAUCAAGUGAGAUUUCCCAAGUAGCGGCGAGCGAACGGGAAAGAGCCCAAACCAUAUAUGUGUAAUAGCCUGCACGCGUUGCAUAUAUGGGGUAGAGGGGCCCCUUGGAUAAGGAUGCAGACUUAUCAAAGAGUUACAAAAUAUCUGGUUAAGCGAAACUGUCUGGAAAGACAUGCCGCAGAGAGUGAAAGCCUCGUAGCUGAAAAUCAGAUAACUCUUAAGGGAGACCCCGAGUACCGCCGGACACGUGGAACCCGGUGGGAAGCAGGGAGGACCACCUUCCAAGGCUAAAUACUAACUAGCGACCGAUAGAGAAGAGUACCGUGAGGGAAAGGUGAAAAGCACCCCGGGAGGGGAGUGAAAAAGAACCUGAAACCGUAUGCCUACAAACAGUCAGAGCCCGAUUAAAACGGGUGAUGGCGUACCUUUUGUAGAAUGGGCCAGCGAGUUAUGGCAGCAAGCGAGGUUAAAUCUAAAAGGAUGGAGCCGAAGCGAAAGCGAGUCUUAACAGGGCGUUAAGUUUGUUGCUAUAGACCCGAAACUGGGUGAUCUAUCCAUGACCAGGGUGAAGUCUCGGUAACACGAGAUGGAGGCCCGAACCAGAGUACGUUGAAAAGUGCGUGGAUGAGUUGUGGAUAGGGGUGAAAUGCCAAUCGAACCCAGAGAUAGCUGGUUCUCCCCGAAAUAGCUUUAGGGCUAGCGUCAUGAAGUACCUUAUGGGGGUAGAGCACUGGUUAGGCUAGGGGCCUUAUCCGGUUACCGAACCAUCCCAAACUCCGAAUACCAUAAGGGUAAUCAUGGCAGUCAGACAGUGGGUGACAAGGUCCAUUGUCGAGAGGGAAACAGCCCAGACCAACAGCUAAGGUCCCAAAAUCUAUGCUAAGUGGGAAAGGAUGUAGAGUUGCACAGACAGCCAGGAUGUUGGCUUAGAAGCAGCCACCAUUUAAAGAGUGCGUAAUAGCUCACUGGUCAAGUGACUCUGCGCCGAAAAUGUAACGGGGCUAAGCAUAGUACCGAAGCUUUGGAUUUGAUAUUUUAGAUAUUGAGUGGUAGGGGAGCGUUCCUAUUGGGCAGAAGCUAUACCGGAAGGAGUAGUGGACUGGUAGGAAGUGAGAAUGCUGGCAUAAGUAAGCGAGAAGGCAGGUGAGAAUCCUGCCCGCCGUAAACCUAAGGUUUCCUGGGGAAGGCUCGUCCGCCCAGGGUAAGCCGGGACCUAACCCGAGGCCAAAAGGCGUAGGGGAUGGACAACUGGUUGAAAUUCCAGUGCCACCAGGCUUUUGUUUGAGCGAAGGGGUGACGCAGGAGGAUAGGUGAAGCGCACGGAAGGAAGAGUGCGUCCAAGCAUGUAGGGGGCAGAUCAGGCAAAUCCGGUCUGUAAUAACCCUGAAGUGUGAUGGGGAGGGAAGCGUAGUACCGAAGUCAUUGACUCCAGACUGCCAAGAAAAGCCUCUAGUGAGAAAGCGGGUGCCCGUACCGCAAACCGACACAGGUAGGUGAGGAGAGAAUCCUAAGGCGCGCGAGAGAACCCUCGUUAAGGAACUCGGCAAAAUGACCCCGUAACUUCGGGAGAAGGGGUGCUCUGGUAGCGUGAUUAUUAAGUUAAGAGCGUGAGAGAGCCGCAGUGAUCAGGCCCAGGCGACUGUUUAACAAAAACACAGGUCUCUGCCAAAUCGAAAGAUGAAGUAUAGAGGCUGACGCCUGCCCGGUGCUGGAAGGUUAAGGGGAGAGGUUAGUCGAAAGGCGAAGCUUUGAACCGAAGCCCCAGUGAACGGCGGCCGUAACUAUAACGGUCCUAAGGUAGCGAAAUUCCUUGUCUGGUAAGUUCAGACCCGCACGAAAGGCGUAACGAUCUGGGCGCUGUCUCGACGAGGGGCUCGGUGAAAUUGUAAUACCGGUGAAGAUGCCGGUUACCUGCGAUAGGACAGAAAGACCCCGUGGAGCUUUACUGCAGCUUGAUAUUGGAUUUUGGUAGUUCAUGUACAGGAUAGGUGGGAGGCUGAGAGAGCAGGUCGCAAGGCUUGCUGGAGCCAAUGGUGGGAUACCACUCUUUAAUUACUGGAGUUCUAACCUGGCACCGUAAGCCGGUGCAGGGACAGUUUCAGGCGGGCAGUUUGACUGGGGCGGUCGCCUCCAAAAGAGUAACGGAGGCGCCCAAAGGUUCCCUCAGCGCGGAUGGAAAUCGCGCGAAGAGUGUAAAGGCAUAAGGGAGC
rnacentral:rRNA from 1 species